rnacentral:sRNA from 1 species
UGCUAGUACCCUCAGUACGUACACACGCGC